AUAACUUAACAAGGGCUUUUCCAUAUCUGUUCUUCAUAUUCGGUUGUUGCUUCCUUGGGGCGCCUUACAUUUACACUUGAUGCAGUCUUUAUUCCUACUGAAAUUCAAAAAGUCACACCUACAUAAACGGAAAGCAAAAGAGUUAAACAUAUCUUUUCAUGAAAGACACUCAAUGAUGAGAGUGAGGAAGACUCACGAUGGGCAGUUCCACUCUCCGGCCAUUCUUUUGGGGCUCACACAAUUGCACUUUAGGCAGACUUUAUUCUUACUGAAAUUCAGGAAGUCACAC
rnacentral:lncRNA from 1 species